AGGUGCGAUCAUACCAACGUUAAUGCACCAGAACCCAUCAGAACUCCGCAGUUAAGCGUGCUUUGGCUAGAGUAGUACUGGGAUGGGUGACCUCCCAGUAAGUCCUAGUGUUGCACCCU
rnacentral:rRNA from 1 species